rnacentral:rRNA from 1 species
UCUUUUAAUUGAAGGCUUGUAUGAAUGGUUGGACGAGAUAUUAACUGUCUCAUUAUAACAAUUAGAAUUUUAUUUUUUAGUAAAAAAGCUAAAAUUUAAUUAAAAGACGAGAAGACCCUAUAGAUCUUUAUAUUAUUUGUUGUUAAUUUUAUAAAGAAUAAUUUAAAAUUAAUAGUUAAUAGUAUUUUAUUGGGGUGAUAAUAAAAUUUAAAGAACUUUUAUAUAUUAUAACGUAAAUUAACGAAUAAUUGAUCCAUUAUUAUUGAUUAUUAAAUUAAGUUACCUUAGGGAUAACAGCGUAAUUUAUUUAGAGAGUUCAUAUCGAUAAAUAAGAUUGC